CAGAAAGCUUUGUCACUGGUUUCUCGGAACAAUUGAUUUUCCGACAACAGAUUCUCUUAUCGGUAAAGCAUCGGAAAAGUUGACAGAAAUUUGUCGGAGUCCUCCGAAGAGAUUUUGACAGUUGUUUUACCGAGAACAUUCCGAUGAUUAUGGUUUAAGGUUCUCGGCAAUUUAUCGAAAAUUCUAAUUUAAUAUCUUAAGGCCACGAUCUACUUCUCAUUGUUAUCAACUUAUCAUUAUCACAUCUCUUAUCCACCGGCUGUCUACAACUCAUGGGCAAUGGUGGUGGUGAUUGGAGGUGAUGCAUCGUUGGAUAAGAUGUUGUUCAAUUCCAAGCAACAACAAAUAAUGGGUGAUUACCAAUACAUUGGCCUGUUUUGAGAUUUAAAACUAGAUCUAGUUUUGUUAUUCAUGUUCUAAGCUAUGUCUAAGGAGCGGCAACACAAAACAGUUCUCUGAUGGCUCUGUUUUCUAAGUUGUGUUUGCAGUGUGGUUGAAGGAGGCUCUGUUCUCUCUCCAGUGUGGUGGCAUGGUUACCGGAGAAGCAACACGAAGCGAGUACUCGGAUGCCUCGACGGGGACUUUAUUCUUAUUUACACUACAACCUCUCACAAAAAUUCUAAUAUACCCCCACUUCUAAUAAAUUAUAUUUUUUCAUUUCUUUUUAAUUACAAAAAGUGGUUAUAUAGAAAAACACCCUUAAUGAAUUUAAACAUUUACCUAAUCCAACCUAGCUAACCUAACCCCACUCAUACCCUAUCGGAUUAUCUGAAUUCAUAUCACGUGUCUCUCUCUUUUUCUCACUUUUUCUUCUUUUACAAAAAUAUCUCGUCAUCAUCAUCUUCAUCUUCCUGUUCAUCCAUUAUCUUAGUCUUUUUCUUCUAUAAUCUUUGGAUUCAGAACCUUAAAUUUUUGGCUAUUUAAAGCCUUAUUUCAACUAUCUACAUUUAUUCUCUGUUAAUCCUUGCUCAAACGGAUCAGUUUCUUCGUCGCUCCUAUGGCGUAUGUGGUCAUAGCUUGAUAGGCCAUGGAUUUGACCCACUUUUACCCAUGAUUUAUAAGUGUUUUAACUACUAUUUAUUAUAUUCUAGAGUCUAUUUAGUAUAUUUAUAGGACCAUGAGUGAUUUGGAAGAAAGUGAUGAUUUUAGAGCAUUUUGGAGAUAUUUGGAGGAAGCAUCCGAGCUGACCAUCAGUCGACAUUAAAGAGAAAUAAUCGAUCGACGGCGAAGCGCGCAGAAAUCCGUUUGGUCCAAGCCGACUUAAAGCCCAGGUCUUCAUCAAUUUACAAGAUUACCCCUAACGAGUUUUACCCUAAUUAUAUAAGUUUCCCAACAUGUAAGAGGAAAAGUGUGCUUUCUUGUUUUACUAUUUUUACAACAAAGAUUUUGUAGGAUUUUUAGUAGAUUGAAGAGAAGAUUCAAAGAUAUUUGUGAUUGGAACACCAUUAAUAUCCAUCUUUUUAUCUAUGCAGUUUAUAUACCUAAUUGAUGUUAUGAAUUGCUUAGCCAUGUCUGAGUAGUUCUCUUGUUAGGUUUAGGGUUUAAAUAGGUUAUGAGAGAUUAGCCCCAACUAUAGAUUGCUAAGUUUUUAUAUUCAUCAUUAGGAUUGACAUUAAAGCAUGUUUCUAGUUUAGCUAGCUAGAACUUGAUCUAGGAGCUUGAGGUAAAGGUCAUCACUUGCAUCUCACCCUGAAUCCAUCAUAAUUGAGCUAAGAUUGCUAGAGUAAAGCGAGAGCUGAUCUAGGAAGCUUAGUGAGCACAUUCAACCUGCACGUUAAAGCUUAGCCAAACGCGUCGAUCGAUAUUCUAAUCGAAUAAUCGGUCGACGGUGAAUAAUUGGUCGACGGUUCAACAAGUGUAUCGAUCGAUAUUCCUAUAGAAUCAUCGAUCGACACUUAUAUCUGGUCAAUAGACAAACCUAGAAAGCGAGAGUCUGUCGGUUUGUUUAUAAGUGUUGGCUCUAUAGUAUCAUGCAUACAACUUGUUAGGCAUCUCUAGGAUUAUAAUCUUGAUUACCUGAAUAAAAACCCUAAGUCUAGCUAUUUUCAUCUAAGUACCAAAACCCCCAAUCAAAUCAAUCGAGCAACUGCCUUGCUCACAAACCUUCUUUUACAUUUAAUCGUAAUCAACCUAUCUUAAUCAGUAUGAUUAGAUUUAUUAGGUUCCAUAGCUCCCUGUGAAUUCGAUCUCUAAAUAGUACAACUGAACCUCUUAUUUUUGAAAGUAACUCACUCCUUAGGGUAAUUUGAGCCAGAUCAUAGCUCAGUACACGUUACAUAACUGAAGAUUUGAUGUGUAAAAAAAAUAUUAAAACCCAUAAAAACUGAAAUUUUUUUGAAGAAAAUCCAUGGCAGGGACAUUAUUUUUAUAUGGGACAUAACCCUCGUAGGUUAUUCUACCACAACCUACAAUAUUCUUCAUGAUCCUCUUUAAAUGAAAUAUCCAUCUUGCCCUUAAUGAUUAGUUCUUUUUGUUUUAUUUUAUUUUACUUUUCCUGCAAUAAAUUAAAAAAUAAACAAAAAAAAAGAAAGAAAAAGAAGUGGGUCUCUUUCAACUUCAGCGGCUUUCGUUUGUACUUCCUCCGGCAGCACGUAGUGUCUCCAGCGCUCUUUACAAGUCGCAACCAUCUUCUCCUCUUCAAACUUCAAUUCCAAGAUGGUCUAUUGCUCCAACCUCCACCAACGUUGUGCUCUAUUACUCGUAGGUGAGUUCCUCCCACUCCGCCAAGUCCCAUCAUCACCGUGACCUUAGUCCCUCGCCACCGACUCCUCCAAGCUUCGAUUUCAGUCAACCAUGGAUGAUGAUGGAUUGAGUAGAUUUCAAUCAACCAUGGAUGAUUUAUCCAUCGAAUCUAGUGGGAAGCUAACUUUUCAUUAUUUGUGUUUUCAGUCCUCAGAUUUUUUGUUCCUCUUCAUUUUGGUCCCAAAUUUUUUAAAUGACUAGAUUUUUUUUCUGAUUUCAGCUUGAACUUUUCAAUUAUGCACUCUAAACCAUGUUAGCUACAAAUCUAUAUAUAUAUAUAUAUAUAUAUAUAUAAAAGGGUUUUCUCCUUCCUGGUGAAGCCACCUAAAUCAUUCCGCACCUGUCACCUAAAUCAUUCCGCACCGUUUCACUCACGUAACUUUGCAGAAGAUGUAUGGGCUUUGUUUAGUUUUUCGGCCUAAAGUUAUGUUGAAGAGACCCAAACCAUAAGAGAGUCUACGUGAUCAUCGUAACCUGCGCUUCUCCUUCUCCGCCAUUACCAGAGAUUGCCAUCGUGAAGAAUCUCUUCCUAGGGUUUUCACGACAUCGUUUGCUCUUCUCUUAAUCAACUGAAACACCCACAGUUACAGAUCCAUCGCGUUAAACGCCUCUUUAAUCCAUCAACCACGAUGGAUCUUUAAUGCAAGUCUCUCUUCUCCAGGGCGAUCUAUUUGUUAGUAUACAUAGAGAACCCCCAAUUUGAAAAAGGUUUUCAGGCGAUGAGUGAUCUCCGGCCAUAACAAAGGUUUGUAGGUUUUCAUGUGUUUCUGAAGAAUAUUGUUUUAUUUGACAUGUGUGGUCGAUCUUUGUUACAAUGUGUUUGUUCCUGGACACCAUCAAAUAAAUUUUGUAUGUACUGAUGUUUCCCACUAACUAAAAUCAUUUUUUCUUAUUUCUUUUGGAAUUGUAAACUAACGACAGUUGCUGGUAUGCUUUUUGCAUUGAAGAUCGUUUCUCCAUAAAAUCUUGGACUACGAAGACGAGUUCUUUGCUGCUCUGAUGCUUAUCCUCGAAGGACAUAGCUUAAGAACCACAUGUUAGAUUUUGGGAUCAAUGUGUUUGGAUUGGAGUAGUGUCACUGUGUGUUAAAGUUUAGUUUUUUUAAUGAAUUGUUUGCAGAUGUUUUGUUUGCUGAAUCAUUGUAUGGUUUGAGGAGAAAGUCAGUUAGGUUGAGAUUACGCAAAGGUUCCAGUAAAGAAGUUCAACGUUUUGGUUUAGAGAAACGCCAAAGAGUCCUCUCUGUUUUUUUUCUGGUUGUGUUACAGUAUUUUAUAUCAAAGUUGCAUGGUAUAUAUAACAAGGAAAGGGAAGCGAUGCUCUGGGAGAGUUUAUGGGGAUCAGAGGAUCAAGGGUUUGAUGAAGCUAACUUCUUUACAGGAGAGGAAACCGUUGUUUCAAGAGGGGAUAGUGGGAAUCAUGCGCUUUCUCUUCGAGUACAGUUAGCUACGAGAAUUAAGAAGUUUGUAGCUGUGUGCUAUCUUUGGAUAGAUGUAUCAAGUGAAGGUAGUUUCUGAUUUAUGUAGAACACGAGUGUUUUGUAUAAUAGCUAUUAUGAUUCUUUCUAAUAGUUAGGUUGAGCUUCAUGCCUAGAGUUGGUAAUCUUGAUGUUCUAAAUUGAAACCACAUUCCGUGCUUUUAGUCCAUUUCUGGAUGGUUAUGAGUAAUAUACUCUAAGCAUGUGUUUGAUUUA